rnacentral:rRNA from 1 species
UACGAAGGGGGCUAGCGUUGCUCGGAAUCACUGGGCGUAAAGGGUGCGUAGGCGGGUCUUUAAGUCAGGGGUGAAAUCCUGGAGCUCAACUCCAGAACUGCCUUUGAUACUGAGGAUCUUGAGUUCGGGAGGAGGUGAGUGGAACUGCGAGUGUAGAGGUGAAAUUCGUAGAUAUUCGCAAGAACACCAGUGGCGAAGGCGGACUCACUGGCCCGAUACUGACGCUGAGG